GGCUCAGGACGAACGCUGGCGGCGUGCCUAAUACAUGCAAGUCGAGCGGACAGAUGGGAGCUUGCUCCCUGAUGUUAGCGGCGGACGGGUGAGUAACACGUGGGUAACCUGCCUGUAAGACUGGGAUAACUCCGGGAAACCGGGGCUAAUACCGGAUGCUUGUUUGAACCGCAUGGUUCAAAUAUAAAAGGUGGCUUUUAGCUACCACUUACAGAUGGACCCGCGGCGCAUUAGCUAGUUGGUGAGGUAACGGCUCACCAAGGCAACGAUGCGUAGCCGACCUGAGAGGGUGAUCGGCCACACUGGGACUGAGACACGGCCCAGACUCCUACGGGAGGCAGCAGUAGGGAAUCUUCCGCAAUGGACGAAAGUCUGACGGAGCAACGCCGCGUGAGUGAUGAAGGUUUUCGGAUCGUAAAACUCUGUUGUUAGGGAAGAACAAGUACCGUUCGAAUAGGGCGGUACCUUGACGGUACCUGACCAGAAAGCCACGGCUAACUACGUGCCAGCAGCCGCGGUAAUACGUAGGUGGCAAGCGUUGUCCGGAAUUAUUGGGCGUAAAGCGCGCGCAGGCGGUUUCUUAAGUCUGAUGUGAAAGCCCCCGGCUCAACCGGGGAGGGUCAUUGGAAACUGGGGAACUUGAGUGCAGAAGAGGAGAGUGGAAUUCCACGUGUAGCGGUGAAAUGCGUAGAGAUGUGGAGGAACACCAGUGGCGAAGGCGACU
rnacentral:rRNA from 1 species